rnacentral:tRNA from 1 species
GAGGGUAUAGCUCAGUGGCAGAGCACAUGCAUAGCAUACAUGAGGUCCUGGGUUCAAUCCCCACUACCUCCA